rnacentral:rRNA from 1 species
GGAAAGGCGCGCGAUACAGGGUGACAGCCCCGUACACAAAAAUGCACAUGCUGUGAGCUCGAUGAGUAGGGCGGGACACGUGGUAUCCUGUCUGAAUAUGGGGGGACCAUCCUCCAAGGCUAAAUACUCCUGACUGACCGAUAGUGAACCAGUACCGUGAGGGAAAGGCGAAAAGAACCCCGGCGAGGGGAGUGAAAAAGAACCUGAAACCGUGUACGUACAAGCAGUGGGAGCACGCUUAGGCGUGUGACUGCGUACCUUUUGUAUAAUGGGUCAGCGACUUAUAUUCUGUAGCAAGGUUAACCGAAUAGGGGAGCCGAAGGGAAACCGAGUCUUAACUGGGCGUUAAGUUGCAGGGUAUAGACCCGAAACCCGGUGAUCUAGCCAUGGGCAGGUUGAAGGUUGGGUAACACUAACUGGAGGACCGAACCGACUAAUGUUGAAAAAUUAGCGGAUGACUUGUGGCUGGGGGUGAAAGGCCAAUCAAACCGGGAGAUAGCUGGUUCUCCCCGAAAGCUAUUUAGGUAGCGCCUCGUGAAUUCAUCUCCGGGGGUAGAGCACUGUUUCGGCAAGGGGGUCAUCCCGACUUACCAACCCGAUGCAAACUGCGAAUACCGGAGAAUGUUAUCACGGGAGACACACGGCGGGUGCUAACGUCCGUCGUGAAGAGGGAAACAACCCAGACCGCCAGCUAAGGUCCCAAAGUCAUGGUUAAGUGGGAAACGAUGUGGGAAGGCCCAGACAGCCAGGAUGUUGGCUUAGAAGCAGCCAUCAUUUAAAGAAAGCGUAAUAGCUCACUGGUCGAGUCGGCCUGCGCGGAAGAUGUAACGGGGCUAAACCAUGCACCGAAGCUGCGGCAGCGACGCUGAUGCGUUGUUGGGUAGGGGAGCGUUCUGUAAGCCUGCGAAGGUGUGCUGUGAGGCAUGCUGGAGGUAUCAGAAGUGCGAAUGCUGACAUAAGUAACGAUAAAGCGGGUGAAAAGCCCGCUCGCCGGAAGACCAAGGGUUCCUGUCCAACGUUAAUCGGGGCAGGGUGAGUCGACCCCUAAGGCGAGGCCGAAAGGCGUAGUCGAUGGGAAACAG